GGAUCCCAUCAGAACUCCGAAGUUAAGCGUGCUUGGGCGAGAGUAGUACAAGGAUGGGUGACCUCCUGGGAAGUCCUCGUGUUGCAUUCCC
rnacentral:rRNA from 1 species